GCCUCUGUGGCGGAACUGGUAGACGCGACAGACUCAAAAUCUGUUGUUCGUAAGAACGUGCUGGUUCGAUUCCGGCCAGGGGCACCA
rnacentral:tRNA from 1 species